rnacentral:misc_RNA from 1 species
CGUGAGUGCUGCACAGAAGCCAUCUGAAACAAAUAAUUUGCAAGCCCCAAGAUCUGUACAAAACCAGGUUUCUUCAUCGGUUGCACUUAAGAAGCCACCGCAAUCUGAUAACAAGAAAUAUUCUGAUGAGGAAGACUCAUCAAUUGCCUCUUGUGAUGUGGUCUCAGCAAGAAAAUCCAGGGUCACUGUAGCGGCAGCCCCAG